GGCUGCAACUCGCCUACACGAAGCUGGAAUCGCUAGUAAUCGCGGAUCAGCACGCCGCGGUGAAUACGUUCCCGGGCCUUGUACACACCGCCCGUCACACCAUGAGAGUUUGUAACACCCAAAGCCGGUGGGGUAACCUUUUGGAGCCAGCCGUCUAAGGUGGGACAGAUGAUUGGGGUGAAGUCGUAACAAGGUAAC
rnacentral:rRNA from 1 species